CUGUGCCCACCCCGUUGGUUCAACAGGUUUCGGUGGAGAUUGAUGUUAUGUAAUGUGAUUAGGCUUUGUGGAUGCUGUGUCAGGCCGGGUUCCAGGAUCGCUGAAGUCCAGAAAAGGUUUCUUUCUGUCACGUGCUUCGCUCCUGUUUCCUAGCAGUUUUGGGGUGGGAAACCCAGCACCUUGGGAUGAGGAGUUUGCUCCUUUGGGGGAGUGUUCCCCUUCUGGCGUUGUGGAAAGGAACUCCAAGAGUACAUUCCAAGGCAUCAUUCAGAAGUGAGAUAAUAUUGGAUGCAACAUGGAUCCCCUGAGUCCUAGGGAAUUGUGUGAUGCUGAGAUAUGAGCUGCAUUAAAGAAAUGAGCUUUGGAAAUUUAUGCUGGAAUGUAUUGGUUAUCUUUGCAGCUAUGAAUGGCUUUGUAAUUAUAAAAAAUAAUUUCAUGCUUCUCUGGUUCAUGUUUAUAUCCUUUGUUAAUUAAAAAUAAUUAUUUUUCUCAA